rnacentral:rRNA from 1 species
UACGUAGGUGGCAAGCGUUGUCCGGAUUUACUGGGCGUAAAGAGCGCGCAGGCGGUCGGAUAAGUCGCGUGUGAAAGCCCCCGGCUCAACUGGGGAGGGUCACGCGAUACUGUUCGACUCGAAGGCAGGAGAGGGUAGUGGAAUUCCCGGUGUAGUGGUGAAAUGCGUAGAUAUCGGGAGGAACACCAGUGGCGAAGGCGGCGCUCUGGACCGACACUGACGCUGAGGCGCGAAAGCGUGGGGAGCAAACAGG